GAAAAUAAUAGAGUUUUUGACAUAAUUUGCAUUGUUCUUCAAACAUAUCUGUGUUAUUUUGAGAGAUGUUUUGAUUAAGAAAAGAGGGUAUGUGUGAAUUGGAUUUGAAUAGCAGAAAAGCAUGAUUUGGAGGGGAAAAUAUUUGGGUAUCCUAGUAUUUUGCCUAAAGUGUGAUCCUGAAAUGGUAUUAUAGAAGCAAUGAAAAUGUACUGGAGAAUGGCAUGUGCAAGGGGCAGGUUUUAAUGUUGUGACUGGGACAUGUGAGAAGCUAGGGCUCUAUAGAUGGUGGCUAUUGGCAGCACUGAGACAAUUGUUGAAAUCAAUGUGCACAUGAUUUCUAGGUUGAUUAGUGGGAGUGUGGAAUGAUUGUGCUGGCAUCAGUGAAACAAUUGUUGGUGGCUUGUAGUUGUUCCAUUCCAGCUACAAAAGUUUGAGGUUCAGGUUGAAGCUGCUUCUUCUACUGUUUCUUCUACUAUAUAUCACAAGCCCAUAUUGAUGCACAUAGAAGGGUUUGUUUCUUCCUGCACCUCCUCCAUAGGUUCUUAUGACACCCUAUACAUGAAAAUACUUUUUUAUCCUUCUUGUGCCACCCCAUAGAAUAACUUACGGAUUAUGUAAUUCGAAUACGCAUUUGAAAAAAGGCUUUUGGAUUAUGUAAGUUAAAAAUUACUUCCAGAUUACAUAAUCCGAAAACUAAUCAUGCAUCUGAAAAAAAAACUUCUGGAUUAUGUAAUCCAUAAGCUAAUUAUGAAUUUGAAAAAAGACUUCCAAAUUAUAUAAUCCAGAAUAUUACAAAGGGGUAUUUUUGAAAAUAUAAAAAUUUAUGGAUGUGAGAGAAGAAUAUAUGGAGGUGCAGGAAGAAACAGCCCAUAAAAGGGAGUGCAACAUGCGAUCCAGUCCACAUUUAGAAUGCUAAUGGGUUCAUUCAGACCACUCAGGAAAUUUCUUCUUGCACCUCCAUAGAAGAUAUGAAAUGAUAAUUUGACCCUUUUCUUUAUCUCUUUCUUUGACACUCUAUUUCCAUAUUUCUGGAUUGCAUUUC
rnacentral:lncRNA from 1 species